AGAAUCAACGCUGGCGGCGUGCCUAACACAUGCAAGUCGAACGCGAAAGCCCCGCAAGGGGUCAGUAGAGUGGCAAACGGGUGAGUAACACGUGGGUGAUCUGCCUCAGAGUGGGGGAUAACGACCCGAAAGGGUCGCUAAUACCGCAUAACAUCCUGCCUUUGGAUAGGUGGAGAUCAAAGCCGGGAUCCGCAAGGACCAGGCGCUUAGAGAGGACGCCCGCGGCCGAUUAGCUAGUUGGUGAGGUAACGGCUACACCGAAGGCGACGAUCGGUACUCCGGCUGAGAGGGCGGACGGACACUACGUGGACUGAGACACGGCCCAGACCUCCGUAGGGAGCGAGCGAGGUGGGUAAUUGGUCGCAAGU
rnacentral:rRNA from 1 species